CGCUAGCGUGACGCGCUGGGGAAGGGGCGGAGGCGGCCGCGGGCCCGAUCUGGAGACCCGGUCAGUGCUGCCGCCGCGUCCCGAGGUGACCCCGGGAUUCGCAGGCUCGACAGGGUGAAGAGUCAAAUACACCUCGUUUUGUGGAGGCUUUAGAAAGAGCAGCAUGGGAAACCUUUCGUGCAGCUACAGUAAGAAAUACUCACUGAAGAUCCCUGUGGGAUGUGACGAGUGUAACAGCCCUUCCCAGACAGUGAAGUCACUUUGUACUGACACUGAUUUUCAGCCUUAACACAGAGGUUAAAAGAAGAGAAAGGGAUCUUGAGGAGAGGCUGAAGCCAAGGCCUCUGGUUUUCACCGAGGAUUCAGUGCAAGCUUGGAAAGAGUAAAGAGCUUCUCACCUCAUUCCUGAUAUCAGCAAAAGGAUUGCAUAAUCUUAGCACUUCUAGUCUUAAGUAAUAAAUCAAUAUCUGGAGCCUUGUGGGUUGUUUAUUUAUAUUAGGACAAGUG